ACCGUGUGAACGGCGGAGGGUCAUUACAGAGUUGCAAAACUCCCAAAACCAUCGCGAACCCUACCUUCAACCGUUGCUUCGGCGGGCGGGCGCCCCGUGCGCCCCCCCGGCCCCCCCCUCGCUGGGGGGCGCCCGCCGGAGGUACCUAACUCUUGUUGAUCAUGUGGCCUCUCUGAGUCUUCUGUACUGAAUAAGUCAAAACUUUCAACAACGGAUCUCUUGGUUCUGGCAUCGAUGAAGAACGCAGCGAAAUGCGAUAAGUAAUGUGAAUUGCAGAAUUCAGUGAAUCAUCGAAUCUUUGAACGCACAUUGCGCCCGCCAGUAUUCUGGCGGGCAUGCCUGUCCGAGCGUCAUUUCAACCAUUCAAGCCCCCGGGCCUGUGUUGGGGACCUGCGGCUGCCCGCAGGCCCCGAAAACCAGUGGCGGGCUCGCUGUCACCCCGAGCGUAGUAGCAACACCUCGCCCAGGGAGUGUCGUGGGUCCCGGCCGUAAAACCUCGCCCUCGCGCGAGAAGCACCCCAAAGGUUGACCUCGGAUCAUGUAGGAAGACCCGCUGAACUUAAGCAUAUCAAUAAGCGGAGGAAAAGCAACAGGGAUUGCCCUAGUAACGGCGAGUGAAGCGGCAACAGCUCAAAUUUGAAAUCUGGCCUCGGCCCGAGUUGUAAUUUGUAGAGGAAGCUUUAGGCGCGGCACCUUCUGAGUCCCCUGGAACGGGGCGCCACAGAGGGUGAGAGCCCCGUAUAGUUGGAUGCCUAGCCUGUGUAAAGCUCCUUCGACGAGUCGAGUAGUUUGGGAAUGCUGCUCAAAAUGGGAGGUAAAUUUCUUCUAAAGCUAAAUACCGGCCAGAGACCGAUAGCGCACAAGUAGAGUGAUCGAAAGAUGAAAAGCACUUUGAAAAGAGGGUUAAAUAGCACGUGAAAUUGUUGAAAGGGAAGCGCUUGUGACCAGACUUGCGCCGGGCGGAUCAUCCGGUGUUCUCACCGGUGCACUCCGCCCGGCUCAGGCCAGCAUCGGUUCUCGCGGGGGGAUAAAGGCCCCGGGAACGUAGCUCCUCCGGGAGUGUUAUAGCCCGGGGCGUAAUGUCCUCGCGGGGACCGAGGACCGCGCAUCUGCAAGGAUGCUGCGUAGCAGU
rnacentral:rRNA from 1 species